rnacentral:rRNA from 1 species
GAAAUCUGGCUCCCUUUGGGGGUCCGAGUUGUAAUUUGCAGAGGGUGCUUUGGCGUUGGUGGCGGUCUAAGUUCCUUGGAACAGGACAUCGCAGAGGGUGAGAAUCCCGUUUGUGGUCGCCUACCUUCGCCGUGUAAAGCCCCUUCGACGAGUCGAGUUGUUUGGGAAUGCAGCUCUAAAUGGGAGGUAAAUUUCUUCUAAAGCUAAAUACUGGCCAGAGACCGAUAGCGCACAAGUAGAGUGAUCGAAAGAUGAAAAGCACUUUGGAAAGAGAGUCAAACAGCACGUGAAAUUGUUGAAAGGGAAGCGCUUGCAGCCAGACUUGCCCGUAGUUGCUCACCUAGGCUUUUGCCUGGGGCACUCUUCUGCGGGCAGGCCAGCAUCAGUUUGGGCGGUCGGAUAAAGGCCUCUGUCACGUAUCUUCCUUCGGGUAGACCUUAUAGGGGAGGCGACAUGCGACCAGCCCGGACUGAGGUCCGCGCUUCUGCUAGGAUGCUGGCGUAAUGGCUGUAAGCGGCCCGUCUUGAAACACGGACCAAGGAGUCUAACAUCUAUGCGAGUGUUUGGGUGUAAAGCCCGAGCGCGUAAUGAAAGUGAACGGAGGUGGGAACCCUUUGGGUGCACCAUCGACCGAUCCUGAUGUCUUCGGAUGGAUUUGAGUAAGAGCAUAGCUGUUGGGACCCGAAAGAUGGUGAACUAUGCUUGAAUAGGGUGAAGCCAGAGGAAACUCUGGUGGAGGCUCGCAGCGGUUCUGACGUGCAAAUCGAUCGUCAAA